ACGCUCGACACCUACGGGAGCAGCAGUGGGGAAUAUUGCACAAUGGGGGAAACCCUGAUGCAGCGACGCCGCGUGAAGGAAGAAGUAUUUCGGUAUGUAAACUUCUAUCAGCAGGGAAGAAAAUGACGGUACCUGACUAAGAAGCCCCGGCUAACUACGUGCCAGCAGCCGCGGUAAUCUGAGCGGGCUGGCAAGGC
rnacentral:rRNA from 1 species